GACGAACGCUGGCGGCGUGCUUAACACAUGCAAGUCGAACGGAAAGGCCCUGCUUUUGUGGGGUGCUCGAGUGGCGAACGGGUGAGUAACACGUGAGUAACCUGCCCUUGACUUUGGGAUAACUUCAGGAAACUGGGGCUAAUACCGGAUAGGAGCUCCUGCUGCAUGGUGGGGGUUGGAAAGUUUCGGCGGUUGGGGAUGGACUCGCGGCUUAUCAGCUUGUUGGUGGGGUAGUGGCUUACCAAGGCUUUGACGGGUAGCCGGCCUGAGAGGGUGACCGGCCACGUUGGGACUGAGAUACGGCCCAGACUCCUACGGGAGGCAGCAGUGGGGAAUAUUGCACAAUGGGCGGAAGCCUGAUGCAGCAACGCCGCGUGCGGGAUGACGGCCUUCGGGUUGUAAACCGCUUUCGCCUGUGACGAAGCGUGAGUGACGGUAAUGGGUAAAGAAGCACCGACUAACUACGUG
rnacentral:rRNA from 1 species